rnacentral:rRNA from 1 species
CCUACGGGAGGCAGCAGUGGGGGAUAUUGCACAAUGGGGGAAACCCUGAUGCAGCGACGCCGCGUGUGGGAAGAAGGUCCUCUGGAUUGUAAACCACUGUCCCCAGGGACGAAGAUGACGGUACCUGGGGAGGAAGCUCCGGCUAACUACGUGCCAGCAGCCUCGGUAAUAGGUAGGGAGCGAGCGUUGUCCGGAAUUACUGGGGGUAAAGGGAGCGUAGGCGGGGAUGCAAGUUGGGGGUCAAAACUACCGGCUCAACUAGGAGUCGCACUCAAAACUGCAGGGCUUGAGUGAAGUAGAGGCAGGCGGAAUUCCUAGUGUAGCGGUGAAAUGCGUAGAUAUUAGGAGGAACACCAGUGGCGAAGGCGGCCUGCUGGGCUUUUACUGACGCUGAGGCUCGAAAGUGUGGGGAGCAAACAGGAUUAGAUACCCUGGUAGUC